rnacentral:rRNA from 1 species
AGUGAACGCUGGCGGUAGGCCUAACACAUGCAAGUCGAACGGCAGCACAGUAAGAGCUUGCUCUUACGGGUGGCGAGUGGCGGACGGGUGAGGAAUACAUCGGAAUCUACUUUUUCGUGGGGGAUAACGUAGGGAAACUUACGCUAAUACCGCAUACGACCUACGGGUGAAAGCAGGGGAUCUUCGGACCUUGCGCGAGUGAAUGAGCCGAUGUCGGAUUAGCUAGUUGGCGGGGUAAAGGCCCACCAAGGCGACGAUCCGUAGCUGGUCUGAGAGGAUGAUCCGCCACACUGGAACUGAGACACGGUCCAGACUCCUACGGGAGGCAGCAGUGGGGAAUAUUGGACAAUGGGCGCAAGCCUGAUCCAGCCAUACCGCGUGGGUGAAGAAGGCCUUCGGGUUGUAAAGCCCUUUUGUUGGGAAAGAAAAGCAGCAGGUUAAUACCCCGCUGUUCUGACGGUACCCAAAGAAUAAGCACCGGCUAACUUCGUG